AUUUAAGAUGAUGCGGAUAGUGAAGAUGAGACGUCGGGAGCAUCUACUUUACCUCGACCUCCAGAAAUGGCCACUGCAAAGAAGCUGUCACCCUCAAUCCUACAAUGGCGGGCGGAUGGACAGACAAACGGACAAAGAAACCCCAACGAUUACUUUACCUCUGCUGGCGGAGCGGGCAAAGUUUUACAUCAGAAGAUGACAAGAAUGCAGUAAGAAGAAAUCCAUUGACAGCCACAGCUACAGACCAGGAUAUUGAGCAGUGGAUUCGAAGGUGGCUCCAUGUUGCUGGGGA